rnacentral:rRNA from 1 species
UACAGAGGUCUCAAGCGUUGUUCGGAUUCAUUGGGCGUAAAGGGUGCGUAGGUGGCGCGCUAAGUCAGGUGUGAAAUUUCGGAGCUUAACUCCGAAACUGCAUUUGAUACUGGCGUGCUUGAGGACUGGAGAGGAGACUGGAAUUCAUGGUGUAGCAGUGAAAUGCGUAGAGAUCAUGAGGAAGACCAGUGGCGAAGGCGGGUCUCUGGACAGUUCCUGACACUGAGGCACGAAGGCCCAGGGGAGCAAACGGG